GUCUUUUUUCCUCUUCUGCACGGCGAACAAAGGCGAGAGGCUUGGCUGAGACGAUCUGUGCACAAAGCAGGAAACUUUGUGGUUCAGAAGCAUGUCAUAUCACAAAAGAACGGCGGAGCCCGAAGCAGCCCCCAAGAUCCUUUGCAUCACUCCUCGAGCCAAUCAUCUCUGUUUGAGGUACGUGACAUAGCAACUGCCCUCCUGUAAAAUCCGGGCCCAUGGGACUGCUCUGUUUCUCUGUGUUUGGGCAGCUUGGCAAGGUUCAAACAAGGUUCAGGAAAGUGCAUGCUCGUGAGGGUACGUGAGCUCUACAGGAACCCCUUCAUGUGCUCGGUCUGUGUUGGAGAGUCGACCUCGCAAAUGAAGAAUUGUAACGUUUUUCAUCGCAGACGUCCAGUGUCAUUACAAACACGCUUCCAUUGUGACCUGUAAAGUUGAAAGGGCAUCGCCAAAUAUGGUUAAUGACGUAUAUUCCUGUGUCUGUCAGCAUGUGUCUCUCUGCCAAAGUUUAAUUUGACCCCGUUUGAAAACAACUAAUUUCCUGUGGAAUUCACAUUAACUCUCCCAAAUUAGGCCAGAUGAUCUUUGCAAAAAAAGGUUUUCAAAAGGUGGACGAGGUGUGGAAGAGAUAUUUAUGUCUUUGACGUAUAUCGCUGGAAUCUGUUGCUCUUAAAUUGCCACCUUGGAACUCCA
ensembl:lncRNA